CAUAUGACUACUCACAUAGAAAAAUUUAUAUUUCCUAAAAGUAUCUACAGAAUAUAACUCGACAAACUCACAAUAAGCAAAAUUGUUUAAAAAACAUAAUUACCUUCUAAAAUUACGUUAUGUGAUAUAUAUAGGUUUUGAGAAGGAAAUAGCUAGCUCUGGUCCUUAGCCACUUCAGCAAAGGUGUCCAUGUACAACUGUACAACUGCUAUUUAUACAGUAUUUGGACUGUAUCUCUCUGGGCCUGCAAAGUAGUAACAACAAUUAGUCCAGCAGAAUCAUUAGUAAAACUUCAUCACACAGUCAUAGACAAACUUCACAAAUGACACAAUAUAAAAUACAGCAGUUACAUAGUAGCUUUGUGUUCUCUUUUGAUUCACCUCUCUUUACUUGUUCCUGGCAUAUGAAAAUUGGUGUUCAUUAGCCUCCAGAAAUUAACGAGAAAGUUUUGCCCCAUUUGAAUGACAGGUGCCAGCCCUGUCACCUUCCCAACAUUUCAUUCUGCUCCCCCAGUGCCAAAUCAGUGCUGUUCCCCUACUGCCAUUUGCCCAGUGCCCAAACACUACGCUGUGAGCUGUAGCUGUCCCCAAACCAUCACACUGCCCACCAGCUGCUCCUGUAACCUUUGCCUGUCUGCCUUACCUCUGCUUUUUCUACAGCAAGGGAAAAUGGGAAGAGUGGUCUUUUUUCUCAAAGUAUUGGGCUUGGGAGUGAAGUAAAGCCCCCUUGGUCUUGUUCAAAAGGAGGGGGAUGCGUACCAUCAGUAUUGUGGGGAAAAAAAUCAGCAGUGAAACAGCAUUUCAGGUGCCGGCCCCCAAGCACCCCUGCAACCACUACAACCCAGCGGCAGCUUUUGGGGCCCGCGGGCAGGGAGGGCGGCGGAGCGGGUGGCGGCCCCUGCAGGCGGCGGCGGAGUCGGAGCCCCGGCGGUGUCAGUGCCACGGUGUCGGCGGCCGCCGAGCGAGAAAGGCAGCGAGGAGCCUGGCCCCGUCCCCGCGGCCGGGCCGCCGCAUGCAGCCCUCACCCUGGAGCGGCGGCGGCGGAUCGAGGAGCUGUCGCGGGCGUCCCGGCAGCGGCUGCUGCAGUCUCGGGACAGGAUGUUCUCCAAGUUCACCUCCAUCCUGCAGCACGCCGUGGAGGCGCUUGCACCAUCCCUUCCAUUACAAGAAGAUUUUGUUUACCACUGGAAGGCAAUCACCCAUUACUACAUAGAGACGUCAG
rnacentral:lncRNA from 1 species